CUUGACCGAGCCGAGCCAGCACGGCUGGUCGGCCGGCCGGUUCUGGCCGUACGUGGCGAUCAGCGCCUGCGCCUC
rfam:Micromonospora rifamycinica strain AM105 contig252, whole genome shotgun sequence.